GGAUUAGAUACCCUGGUAGUCCACGCCGUAAACGAUGAGGAUUAGCUGCUGGGCUUUAAAGCUUGGUAGCGCAGCUAACGCAUUAAAUCUUCCGCCUGGGGAGUACGGUCGCAAGAUUAAAACUCAAAUGAAUUGACGGGGGCCCGCACAAGCGGUGGAGCAUGUGGUUUAAUUCGAUGCAACGCGAAGAACCUUACCUACUCUUGACAUCCAGAGAAUUUUCUAGAAAUAGAUUAGUGCCUUCGGGAACUCUGUGACAGGUGCUGCAUGGCUGUCGUCAGCUCGUGUCG
rnacentral:rRNA from 1 species